ACGCUCGACACCUACGUGAGGCAGCAGUGGGGAAUAUUGCACAAUGGGGGAAACCCUGAUGCAGCGACGCCGCGUGAGCGAAGAAGUAUCUCGGUAUGUAAAGCUCUAUCAGCAGGGAAGAAGAUGACGGUACCUGACUAAGAAGCACCGGCUAAAUACGUGCCACCAGCCGCGGUAAUCUGAGCGGGCUGGCAAGGC
rnacentral:rRNA from 1 species